rnacentral:rRNA from 1 species
UACGGAGGGUGCGAGCGUUGUCCGGAAUCACUGGGCGUAAAGGGCGCGUAGGUGGCCCGUUAAGUGGCUGGUGAAAUCCCGCGGCUCAACUGCGGGGCUGCCGGUCAUACUGGCGAGCUAGAGCACGGUAGGGGCAGAUGGAAUUCCCGGUGUAGCGGUGGAAUGCGUAGAGAUCGGGAGGAAUACCAGUGGCGAAGGCGGCCGGCUGGGCCACGACCGACACUGAGGUGCGAAAGCGUGGGGAGCGAACCGG